rnacentral:rRNA from 1 species
CACGUAGGAGGCGAACGUUAUCCGGAAUUACUGGGCGUAAAGCGCACGUAGGCGGCAUCGUAAGUCCGACGUGAAAGCUCCUGGCUUAACUGGGAGAGGCCGUUGGAUACUGCGAAGCUCGAGGUUGGGAGAGGAGAGUGGAAUUCCCGGUGUAGUGGUGGAAUGCGUAGAUAUCGGGAGGAACUCCAGUGGCGAAAGCGACUCUCUGGCCUACUCCUGACGCUAAAGUGCGAAAGCGUGGGUAGCGAACAGG